rnacentral:rRNA from 1 species
AUAAUGGGUCAGCGACUUAUAUUCUGUAGCAAGGUUAACCGAAUAGGGGAGCCGAAGGGAAACCGAGUCUUAACUGGGCGUUAAGUUGCAGGGUAUAGACCCGAAACCCGGUGAUCUAGCCAUGGGCAGGUUGAAGGUUGGGUAACACUAACUGGAGGACCGAACCGACUAAUGUUGAAAAAUUAGCGGAUGACUUGUGGCUGGGGGUGAAAGGCCAAUCAAACCGGGAGAUAGCUGGUUCUCCCCGAAAGCUAUUUAGG